AACCUUAAAAUUCCCUUUCAAACCAUAUUGCGCCGUCACUUCAUCUUCACUCUCGAACCCAGCAGCUUCCUUCGGCGUCCAUCGUCAUCUUCAUCACUGGAACCCAGCCUCAUCUUCAGCUUCUGGAACCCAGCCUUCUGGAACCCAACCCUUCAUCGCACCCAGAAAACCCUAACCUCCAUCACGCCGCCAUCUAUCUCACUGGUUCGUCGUUGUGUUAGCCAGCUCGCCAUUCCUCUUGCUGUCCUUCUCGCCGUUCCUGUCGUGGUUCUGCUCGCCUCUCCCUGCUCGCCUCAUCCCCUCCACCGUUGCAGUCCCUGGCUCACCCAUUCCUUCCCUCGCAGUCACACCGGCCGUCGCCCGUAGUCCUCCGCGGAACUCGCCCGUCACUCGAAGUCGCACUCCGAAGCCGUCGCCCGUUGUCCUCCUCGAAACUCACCCGUCGCCCGUCGUCCUCCGUGGAUCUUGCAGCCGUUAUCUUCCUCCGCGGUACAAUGCAAUAAACAGUCGUAUUCCUCUACAUCCUUCACCCAGCUCUCUGAAACUCUGCAUCUAUUUUUCUUAUUUGCAGACAACAGCAUUAAUGUUGGCAUUCAGUGAACAUCUUCGAGAUAACUAUAGUCUUGUUACUAACAUGGAUCCUAAUGUUCCUGCACAACUUUUUGAGUAUGACAAACGUUUUGAGUAGUACGGAUGUGAUUACACAUUUUAUGACCACAAUCACCCUGAGGAGUUGCCACUGGAGUUGAAGCAUUCCUUCAAAAUAGUAGUGGCAGAUCCUCCUUACUUGGUGAGAGUUAAAUUGAUUGCUGAAAUUUUAUUUGGCUCGGCAAUUCUUGGAUUCUUGCUUCAGUGGUCUGGUGCUUUAGCAUUAGGAAAAUAGAAAAAUAGCAAAUUAGAGAUUAGAGAUGUUGAGGUUGAUAGUGAGGCCACUGUUAUUAGGUGGCCUAAAGGUCAUGCAACAAAGCUCACCUCCUUUCAAGAAAGUAAUAGUGAAAUCCAAACUUCAUGUUCAGAUAUUGCAAAGUCCACCAUGGACAUAACCAAGAUUCAGAAAGAGGAAGCCAAAAUCGUUGCAUGGGAAAGCCAACAGAAGGCAAAGUAACUUAUUGUUGCUUGUAAAUAAACUGAGAGAACCAAAGUAGCUAACAAAGUUUGACUUAGCAGUAAGAGGAGGGUCCUGACAGAAGGAUCUUCUUGCCAGAGGGUCUCUUGUAUGAUCUAAGGGAAGGAGGUUUAAGAGGGCUAAAGGAAGGAGGAACAGCAAAGGAAAUAGAAUUUAAGUUAUUUUUUUUAAGUUUCUAGUUUUGGAAUUUGAACUUGAGAUUUAUUUUGUAUUUGAGUAUUAGUUUUUUAAUGUAUAAAAUAAUUAUUGAAAAAAUUAUGUCACUAAUUAUUGUUUGACUAAAAAUUGCAUACUAUAUUUCUUGGUUUGGUAAUAAAAAAGGAUUGAAAAUUUA